UACGACUACAUAUCAGGCAUAUCAAUAAGCGGAGGAAAAGAAACUAACAAGGAUUCCCUCAGUAACGGCGAGUGAAGCGGGAAGAGCUCAAAUUUGAAAUCUUCAAGGUUUUACCUUGACGAAUUGUAGUUUAAAGAAGUGUUUUCUGUUGGUGUUUUGGUAAAAGUUCUUUGGAAUAGGACAUCAUAGAGGGUGAGAAUCCCGUAUUUGACCGUUAUUUUCAGCUGUGUGAUACACUUUCAAAGAGUCGGAUUGUUUGGGAAUGCAGUCCAAAAUGGGUGGUAAAUUUCAUCUAAAGCUAAAUAUUGGCGAGAGACCGAUAGCGAACAAGUACCGUGAGGGAAAGAUGAAAAGAACUUUGAAAAGAGAGUUAAACAGUACGUGAAAUUGUCAAAAGGGAAGCGUUUGACACCAGUGUUGUUUAGUUGAAAAUCAAUUAAAUAGUUUUCGAUUUUAAGUAGUAUUGACCUUAUCAGCUUGCUGCUUUCUUCUCGGAAAUUAUUUAAUGCACUUUUCAGUUAACAAGUCAACAUCAAUUUCUUUUGUUGUAAAAAGGUAAGAGGAAGGUGGCUUGCGCUUCGGCUCAAGUGUUUAUAGCCUUUUACCUCUGCAAUCGGAGAGAUUGAGGUCAGCAGCGUAGACUCUUCGGGGUUAGAUACGCUUGUGCUAAGCUAUAGCCUUGUAUAGACAACUUGUUGACUAUGCUCAGUCAUGUAGCUUACUCGCUUGUAGUAUUUUACCUACGCUUAGGAUGUUGACGCGCGUGUGUGCGUG
rnacentral:rRNA from 1 species